rnacentral:misc_RNA from 1 species
GCAAACUUGGUCAUUUAGAGGAAGUAAAAGUCGUAACAAGGUUUCCGUAGGUGAACCUGCGGAAGGAUCAUUAUUGAAUGCAACUUGAUGGGUUGUAGCUGGCUCCUCUGGAGCAUGUGCACACUUGUCUUGAUUCUAUUCAUCCACCUGUGCAUCAUUUGUAGUCUCUGAGGGCUGAGAGGUGGUGGUGGCGGUUGACCUCAUCCAACAAGGAUGGACAAGAGGAUUGCAAGCGUGUGCCAGCUUUCUUCAAUGACCUUGCCAUGACCUUCCUGGGAGACUAUGUCUUUUUCAUAAACCAUGUAGUAUGUUGUAGAAUGUGAUCAAAUGGGCCCUUUGUGCCUAUACAAUCUUAUACAACUUUCAGCAACGGAUCUCUUGGCUCUCGCAUCGAUGAAGAACGCAGC